rnacentral:rRNA from 1 species
CACGUAGGGCGCAAGCGUUGUCCGGAAUUAUUGGGCGUAAAGAGCUCGUAGGCGGUCUGUUGCGUCCGCUGUGAAAACUCGGGGCUUAACCCCGAGCCUGCAGUGGAUACGGGCAGACUAGAGGUAGGUAGGGGAGAAUGGAAUUCCCGGUGUAGCGGUGAAAUGCGCAGAUAUCGGGAGGAACACCUGCGGUGUAGACGGCUUACUGGACCAUAACUGACGCUGAGGCACGAAAGCGUGGGUAGCAAACAGG